AAAAGCCUGGAGUGUACGUCGGCUGCUUUGUUUUCUCCUACAUUUUCAUAACUGGAGUCCGGAGUCGAUUUGUGGAUGCCAUGCCCCCGUUUUUAACGCCAGGGGACGGCAGAAGUAGAGCGCAGGGCACCGACCUGCCGAGACGGUGGGUGGAAAAGUGGCAGCAGCGGCAUUUCGGGUUUUUA
rnacentral:other from 1 species